GAUGAACGCUGGCGGCGUGCCUAAUACAUGCAAGUCGAGCGAACGGACGAGAAGCUUGCUUCUCUGAUGUUAGCGGCGGACGGGUGAGUAACACGUGGAUAACCUACCUAUAAGACUGGGAUAACUUCGGGAAACCGGAGCUAAUACCGGAUGAUAUUUUGAACCGCAUGGUUCAAAAGUGAAAGACGGUCUUGCUGUCACUUAUAGAUGGAUCCGCGCUGCAUUAGCUAGUUGGUAAGGUAACGGCUUACCAAGGCAACGAUGCAUAGCCGACCUGAGAGGGUGAUCGGCCACACUGGAACUGAGACACGGUCCAGACUCCUACGGGAGGCAGCAGUAGGGAAUCUUCCGCAAAGGGCGAAAGCCUGACGGAGCAACGCCGCGUGAGUGAUGAAGGCCUUCGGAUCGUAAAACUCUGUUAUUAGGGAAGAACAUAUGUGUAAGUAACUGUGCACAUCUUGACGGUACCUAAUCAGAAAGCCACGGCUAACUACGUG
rnacentral:rRNA from 1 species